rnacentral:rRNA from 1 species
AGCUUGACACUGAACAUUGAGCCUUGAUGUGUAGGAUAGGUGGGAGGCUUUGAAGCGUGGACGCCAGUCUGCGUGGAGCCAUCCUUGAAAUACCACCCUUUAAUGUUUGAUGUUCUAACUCGGCCCCAUAAUCUGGGGUGAGGACAGUGUCUGGUGGGUAGUUUGACUGGGGCGGUCUCCUCCCAAAGAGUAACGGAGGAGCACGAAGGUUAGCUAAUCACGGUCGGACAUCGUGAGGUUAGUGCAAAGGCAUAAGCUAGC